rnacentral:lncRNA from 1 species
GAGACUACAAUCUGGCAGUGUGGAAGUGGCAAGACUGAGUAUUUGUGUGCACACAGCUGGGCUGGGCUGGGCUGGGCUGGGCUGUGCAGGGAUUCAUAAGCUUCCUACAGCAUCUGUCAGAUUCUUUGGGGAGUACAGAUUGUGAAUCUCAUCGCUAUCAGAACUACAGACAAGGAAAUCCCUGUCUUACAACGGUCGUACGAACGCCAGCCUGUCAACUGGAGAAAAGACCCACUUUCCUGAGGAGUUACUGAUAUAGAGGCUCAUCCGUAGCCGAUGU